rnacentral:rRNA from 1 species
ACGCUGGCGGCGUGCCUAAUACAUGCAAGUCGAACGCACAGCGAAAGGUGCUUGCACCUUUCAAGUGAGUGGCGAACGGGUGAGUAACACGUGGACAACCUGCCUCAAGGCUGGGGAUAACAUUUGGAAACAGAUGCUAAUACCGAAUAAAACUUAGUGUCGCAUGACACAAAGUUAAAAGGCGCUACGGCGUCACCUAGAGAUGGAUCCGCGGUGCAUUAGUUAGUUGGUGGGGUAAAGGCCUACCAAGACAAUGAUGCAUAGCCGAGUUGAGAGACUGAUCGGCCACAUUGGGACUGAGACACGGCCCAAACUCCUACGGGAGGCUGCAGUAGGGAAUCUUCCACAAUGGGCGAAAGCCUGAUGGAGCAACGCCGCGUGUGUGAUGAAGGCUUUCGGGUCGUAAAGCACUGUUGUAUGGGAAGAACAGCUAGAAUAGGAAAUGAUUUUAGUUUGACGGUACCAUACCAGAAAGGGACGGCUAAAUACGUGCCAGCAGCCGCGGUAAUACGUAUGUCCCGAGCGUUAUCCGGAUUUAUUGGGCGUAAAGCGAGCGCAGACGGUUUAUUAAGUCUGAUGUGAAAGCCCGGAGCUCAACUCCGGAAUGGCAUUGGAAACUGGUUAACUUGAGUGCAGUAGAGGUAAGUGGAACUCCAUGUGUAGCGGUGGAAUGCGUAGAUAUAUGGAAGAACACCAGUGGCGAAGGCGGCUUACUGGACUGCAACUGACGUUGAGGCUCGAAAGUGUGGGUAGCAAAC